rnacentral:pre_miRNA from 1 species
UCCACAAGCUAUUGAGUCUGGCUGGGUAGCCGGACCCAAUGUUAUUGGGUUUUGCUGGGCUGUUGAACCCAAGUUUUCUUCUAAAAGCUGUUGGGU